GGAAGGAUGUGGACUAAUAACAAUAAACAGCUAUUUAGUUCCUUUCUGGACACAUUUGGACUGCAUUUCGGGCCAUGUUAUGGGCAAACGCUGAUCUGGGUGUUCCCCAGUUCCCAGACUGCACGUGAAACAUCGGCGGGGCCUGUGCUGGGGUUUCCUGCCCAGGCUCCUUGUGCUGCUCGUGGGCCUAACCCGGAACCGCCCUGAGACCCUGGCAAGGCAGCCCUUCACAGACAGGGCCUCGUGCUGUGCCCGGCACAUGGGAGAUGUCUGCCGAUUGCUGAUAAACCUUUAAAGAAAUCCGCAAACAUUGGAAAGAAUGAAGCACGUUACUCUGCGGGCUUUGCUGCAGCAAAGCUGGCCUCGGGCAGUCCCACCACAGUGCCUCUCACCUUCCUCAGGCUGGGUGGCCCCCUGGAGUCUCACGGAAGAAGCCUGGUGUGCGAACGACCUGCGGAGCAAGCCCUGAAUGCGGCAGCAAGCCCGGCACCCUGCCACCCUCCCUCCACUUCACUGCGCGCGUCCCUCACCCGUUUUCCAGGUCUCGGCCCUUCUGAUGACCGUCUGUGCGGGUUUCUGCUUUUCACGUUACGGUUGCCUCAGUUGCGUUUUCCCCAGUUUCUAUGGGAUCUGAAAUCAGCUGCUAGUCAUAUUUGACUGUUUCAGAAUGGGAUGACCCUGUUCUCUACUGUAGAACAGGGCUCAGCGAACUGGCCCGUGGGGCCAAAUCCUGCCUGCUGCCUGGUUCCGAGAUAAGGUUUUACUGGAAAACAGUC